rnacentral:rRNA from 1 species
UAGGGAAUCUUCCGCAAUGGGCGAAAGCUUGCCGGAGCAACGCCGCGUGAGUGAUGAAGGUCUUCGGAUCGUAAAACUCUGUUAUUAGGGAAGAACAAAUGUGUAAGUAACUAUGCACGUCUUGACGGUACCUAAUCAGAAAGCCACGGCUAACUACGUGCCAGCAGCCGCGGUAAUACGUAGGUGGCAAGCGUUAUCCGGAAUUAUUGGGCGUAAAGCGCGCGUAGGCGGUUUUUUAAGACUGAUGUGAAAGCCCACGGCUCAACCGUGGAGGGUCAUUGGAAACUGGAGAACUUGAGUGCAGAAGAAGAAAGUGGAAUUCCAUGUGUAGCGGUGAAAUGCGCAGAGAUAUGGAGGAACACCAGUGGCGAAGGCGACUUUCUGGUCUGUAACUGACGCUGAUGUGCGAAAGCGUGGGGAUCAAACAGG